rnacentral:rRNA from 1 species
CUACGGGUUGCUCCAGUGAGGAGUAUUGCACAAUGGGGGGAACCCUGAUGCAGCAACGCCGCGUGGAGGAUGACGCAUUUCGGUGUGUAAACUCCUUUUAUAUGUCAAGAAAAUGACGGUAGCAUAUGAAUAAGCACCGGCUAACUCCGUGCCAGCAGCCGCGGUAAUACGGAGGGUGCAAGCGUUACUCGGAAUCACUGGGCGUAAAGGACGCGUAGGCGGGUUGGAAAGUCAGGUGUGAAAUCCUACAGCUUAACUGUAGAACUGCGCUUGAAACUUCUAAUCUAGAGUAUGGGAGGGGGAGAUGGAAUUAGUGGUGUAGGGGUAACAUCCGUAGAUAUCACUAGGAAUACCUAAAGCGAAGGCGAUCUCCUGGAACAUUACUGACGCUAAGGCGUGAAAGCGUGGGGAGCAAACAGGAUUAGAUACCCUCGUAGUC